rnacentral:tRNA from 2 species
GGGGACGUAGUUCAGUUUGGAUAGAACGCAAGAUUGUCGAUCUUGAGGUCGCGGGUUCGAGCCCCGUCGUCCCCGCCA